rnacentral:tRNA from 1 species
UUAACCAAAGCCAAAGUUUUAGAGGCAUACUGAUGUUAACAGUAAAAAUGAAAAAGAAAAAUUUCUGGUUAAA